AGACUGAUAGAUAAUAAUGUCAUAAUGAACCUGUACAGGUGAGGAGACUGAUAGAUAAUAAUGUUAUAAUGAACCUGUACAGGUGAGGAGACUGAUAGAUAAUAAUGUUAUAAUGAACCUGUACAGGUGAGGAGACUGAUAGAUAAUAAUGUUAUAAUGAACCUGUACAGGUGAGGAGACUGAUAGAUAAUAAUGUUAUAAUGAACCUGUACAGGUGAGGAGACUGAUAGAUAAUAAUGUCAUAAUGAACCUGUACAGGUGAGGAGACUGAUAGAUAAUAAUGUUAUAAUGAACCUGUACAGGUGAGGAGACUGAUAGAUAAUAAUGUUAUAAUGAACCUGUACAGGUGAGGAGACUGAUAGAUAAUAAUGUCAUAAUGAACCUGUACAGGUGAGGAGACUGAUAGAUAAUAAUGUCAUAAUGAACCUGUACAGGUGAGGAGACUGAUAGAUAAUAAUGUCAUAAUGAACCUGUACAGGUGAGGAGACUGAUAGAUAAUAAUGUUAUAAUGAACCUGUACAGGUGAGGAGACUGAUAGAUAAUAAUGUUAUAAUGAACCUGUACAGGUGAGGAGACUGAUAGAUAA